CUCUAAUAGUCAUUGGUAAAAAAAUUAUUAGCGAUAAAAUUAUUGCCGUCGGUAAUGUCGUCAUUAAUAUUCUUUAUUAGCGACGACUAAAAUACCGUUGCUAAUGACCAUCGCUAAUACCUUAUUUUUUUAUAGUGUACUUAUUGGUUGAAUUUGUAUCUUUCAUACAAUAUUUAAUUAUUUUUAUCUAGUUAGUCUGAG
rnacentral:lncRNA from 1 species